rnacentral:rRNA from 1 species
UCCCUCAGAAUGGUUGGAAAUCAUUCGCAGAGUGUAAAGGCACAAGGGAGCUUGACUGCGAGACCUACAAGUCGAGCAGGGACGAAAGUCGGGCUUAGUGAUCCGGUGGUUCCGCAUGGAAGGGCCAUCGCUCAACGGAUAAAAGCUACCCUGGGGAUAACAGGCUUAUCUCCCCCAAGAGUCCACAUCGACGGGGAGGUUUGGCACCUCGAUGUCGGCUCAUCGCAUCCUGGAGCUGAAGUAGGUUCCAAGGGUUGGGCUGUUCGCCCAUUAAAGCGGUACGCGAGCUGGGUUCAGAACGUCGUGAGACAGUUCGGUCCCUAUCUACCGUGGGCGCUGGAAAUUUGAGAGGAUCUGCUCCUAGUACGAGAGGACCAGAGUGGACGAACCU